AAAAAAUUUCGCCCCCACUUUACGUGUAGGGGAGGUACCCUAAAAAAAAAAAUUUUUAGAUUUUAUUGUACGACUUUGUCGGCUUUAUUGAUUUAUAUAUCCAUGCCAAAUUUCAGCUUUCUAGCACUAACGACCACGGAGCAAAGCCUCGGACAGACAGACAGACGGACAUGGCGAAACUAUAAGGGUUCCGUUUUAUGCCAUUUGGCUACGGAACCCUAAAAAGGGACACCAACCUGUAUUUUGUUAAAUAUGCUUGUGAGAGAAUAAAUCAUUUUUCAUU